rnacentral:rRNA from 1 species
CUACGGGUGGCUGCAGUGGGGAAUUUUGGACAAUGGGGGAAACCCUGAUCCAGCGAUGCCGCGUGUGUGAAGAAGGCCUUCGGGUUGUAAAGCACUUUUGUUCGGGAAGAAAUCUGUCGGGCUAAUACCCUGGCGGGAUGACGGUACCGGAGGAAUAAGCACCGGCUAACUACGUGCCAGCAGCCGCGGUAAUACGUAGGGUGCGAGCGUUAAUCGGAAUUACUGGGCGUAAAGCGUGCGCAGGCGGUUUCAUAAGACAGAUGUGAAAUCCCCGGGCUUAACCUGGGAAUUGCAUUUGUGACUGUGAGACUAGAGUGUGUCAGAGGGAGGUGGAAUUCCGCGUGUAGCAGUGACAUGCGUAGAGAUGCGGAGGAACACCGAUGGCGAAGGCAGCCUCCUGGGAUAACACUGACGCUCAUGCACGAAAGCGUGGGGAGCAAACAGGAUUAGAUACCCCUGUAGUC